rnacentral:rRNA from 1 species
UGAAACCGUGUACGUACAAGCAGUGGGAGCACGCUUAGGCGUGUGACUGCGUACCUUUUGUAUAAUGGGUCAGCGACUUAUAUUCUGUAGCAAGGUUAACCGAAUAGGGGAGCCGAAGGGAAACCGAGUCUUAACUGGGCGUUAAGUUGCAGGGUAUAGACCCGAAACCCGGUGAUCUAGCCAUGGGCAGGUUGAAGGUUGGGUAACACUAACUGGAGGACCGAACCGACUAAUGUUGAAAAAUUAGCGGAUGACUUGUGGCUGGGGGUGAAAGGCCAAUCAAACCGGGAGAUAGCUGGUUCUCCCCGAAAGCUAUUUAGGUAGCGCCUCGUGAAUUCAUCUCCGGGGGUAGAGCACUGUUUCGGCAAGGGGGUCAUCCCGACUUACCAACCCGAUGCAAACUGCGAAUACCGGAGAAUGUUAUCACGGGAGACACACGGCGGGUGCUAACGUCCGUCGUGAAGAGGGAAACAACCCAGACCGCCAGCUAAGGUCCCAAAGUCAUGGUUAAGUGGGAAACGAUGUGGGAAGGCCCAGACAGCCAGGAUGUUGGCUUAGAAGCAGCCAUCAUUUAAAGAAAGCGUAAUAGCUCACUGGUCGAGUCGGCCUGCGCGGAAGAUGUAACGGGGCUAAACCAUGCACCGAAGCUGCGGCAGCGACGCUGAUGCGUUGUUGGGUAGGGGAGCGUUCUGUAAGCCUGUGAAGGUGUGCUGUGAGGCAUGCUGGAGGUAUCAGAAGUGCGAAUGCUGACAUAAGUAACGAUAAAGCGGGUGAAAAGCCCGCUCGCCGGAAGACCAAGGGUUCCUGUCCAACGUUAAUCGGGGCAGGGUGAGUCGACCCCUAAGGCGAGGCCGAAAGGCGUAGUCGAUGGGAAACAGGUUAAUAUUCCUGUACUUGGUGUUACUGCGAAGGGGGGACGGAGAAGGCUAUGUUGGCCGGGCGACGGUUGUCCCGGUUUAAGCGUGUAGGCUGGUUUUCCAGGCAAAUCCGGAAAAUCAAGGCUGAGGCGUGAUGACGAGGCACUACGGUGCUGAAGCAACAAAUGCCCUGCUUCCAGGAAAAGCCUCUAAGCAUCAGGUAACAUCAAAUCGUACCCCAAACCGACACAGGUGGUCAGGUAGAGAAUACCAAGGCGCUUGAGAGAACUCGGGUGAAGGAACUAGGCAAAAUGGUGCCGUAACUUCGGGAGAAGGCACGCUGAUAUGUAGGUGAAGUCCCUCGCGG